GGUCCAUCAAGAUGAUCAAUGAUGUGAUCACAUGUACAGAAAAUUUACCCAUCAUGUUGCUAAUUUUAGUUAAUCAUUUACAUUAUCUUCAGUAAAAAAUGAUGUUUUCAGAGGUCUGAAUAAGGGUCUAGGACACCCCCAGAAUGCAGGAUUUUGCACCAUUUUAAAAAAAAAUCAUGGGGCCCUUGAGCGGGCCCCAGACCCCCCGCCGUAGUAGCGACGAGCAAGCUCGUCGACGCGAACGGCUUCGCCGUCCGCAUGUACUUGCCGCCUAUUUUAGAAAUUCAGCCUGCUUCUUCAAAACUUAGUGACAUCACUGAAACACGAAAUCCAGACAUGCCAGAGGUCCUGAAUUAGAUAAAUUUAAAUCCUGAAAGGGUCAAUCCUGAAAUCCUGAGCUUAAAAACAGCCU
rnacentral:lncRNA from 1 species